GACAGAGGGUGCAAACGUUGCUCGGAAUUACUGGGCGUAAAGGGCGUGUAGGCGGGCAGGUAAGUCGGGCGUGAAAUCCCUGGGCUCAACCCAGGAACUGCACUCGAAACUACUUGCCCUGAGUGCCGGAGAGGAAAGCGGAAUUCCUGGUGUAGAGGUGAAAUUCGUAGAUAUCAGGAGGAACACCAGUGGCGAAGGCGGCUUUCUGGACGGUAACUGACGCUGAGACGCGAAAGCGUGGGGAGCAAACAGG
rnacentral:rRNA from 1 species